rnacentral:tRNA from 2 species
GCCGCCGUAGUUCAAUGGAUAGAACGACUCCCUCCUAAGGUGUAGAUAUGGGUUCGAUUCCCGUCGGAGGCACCA